CCCGAUGGAGCCUCUCCACUCCUCCCAGCUGAGAGCCGUCACGUGGGAUUCAACAUUCUGUUCCCCGAGUAAUUAAACCCGGCCAUGGAAGCUGAAAGGUUGAACAAGGCACCUUCACAGCACCCCGAGGUGGUGGCAGCCACGUGAGCGACUCCACCUGUUUUAUUGCUACUCGACGUCAUCCUGCACAUCGUGGGUGCUCAAGAGAUACUUCUUGGGGAGAAAUGAAUGAUCCAGCCCCUUGCCUUUUGCUCCCCUGGACUGGCUCUUCAGGGAGAGACUCUGAGCAAGGGAGGAGGGCCUGAAAAUAUCACUCUGGAUAACAAACUGCAUAGACAACUGCCGAGAGUGAGCACGUGCGAAGUGCUUCAUUUGCACAGAUCGUUAAUCCUCAUAACAAGACCAUGAGAAAGUAAGUUCCACGAGGGCACGAAUUGAGUCUGUCUUGUUCACUGCUGUUUCCAAGGCCUGGGACAGUGCUGGGCACACAGUAGGGUCUAAAUGAUUGUUGGCUGAAUGAAUGAACCCC
rnacentral:lncRNA from 1 species